rnacentral:lncRNA from 1 species
ACUUCAUGGAUAGUACAGGUACUUCAUGGAUAGAACAGGUACUUCAUGCAUAGUACAGAUACUUCAUGGAUAGAACAGGUACUUCAUGCAUAGUACAGAUACUUCAUGGAUAGUACAGGUACUUCAUGCAUAGUACAGAUACUUCAUGGAUAGUACAGGUACUUCAUGGGUAGAACAGGUACUUCAUGGGUAGAACAGGUACUUCCUGGAUGGUACAGGUACUUCAUGGGUAGUACAGGUACUUCAUGGAUAGAACAGGUACUUCAUGGGUAGAACAGGUACUUCAUGGAUAGACCAGGUACUUCAUGGAUAGAACAGGUAAUUCAUGGGUAGUACAGGUACUUCAUGGAUAGUACAGAUACUUCAUGGGUAGUACAGGUACUUCAUGGGUAGGUCAGGUACUUCAUGGAUAGACCAGGUACUUCAUGGAUAGAACAGGUACUUCAUGGAUAGAAUAGGUACUUCAUGGGUAGUACAGAUACUUCAUGGAUAUACAUGGUACUUCAUGGAUAGUACAGAUACUUCAUGGGUAGUACAGGUACUUCAUGGAUAGAACAGGUACUUCAUGGGUAGAACAGGUACUGUGUAAUAGACUAUUCACAGUCCCUUUGUACGGUCCUUUAUAAUGUUGCUUUCACUCAUUUUGCUUUACCAUAUGCUGUAAUCACCC